AGGUGAUGGACAACAGGUUGAUAUUCCUGUACUACCGAUAACCGUUUGAGAGAAGGGAUGACACAGUAGGAUAAGCUAAGCACACUGUUGGUUAUGUGUGCCCAAGCAUUGAGGCAGUCAAAGUAGGCAAAUCCGCUUUGAUAAUGCUGGGAUGUGAGGGGGAGCGAAAUUUAGUAGCGAAGUAGCUGAUUUCACACUGUCAAGAAAAGUCUCUAUCGAGGUUAAAGGUACCCGUACCGCAAACCGACACAGG
rnacentral:rRNA from 1 species